GACGAACGCUGGCGGUGUGCCUCACACAUGCAAGUCGAGCGGAUGAGGAUAGUAGCUUGCUACUGUCUGAGUUAGCGGCGGACGGGUGAGUAAUGCGUAGGAAUCUACCUUUAGGUAGGGGAUAACGGGCUGAAAGGUCCGCUAAUACCCCCAUAUGCGUGUCCCCUUCGGGGAUUCGUGAAAGGAGCAAUUCGCCUUUAGAUGAGCCUGCGUCUGAUUAGCUAGUGGUAGGGUAAAGGCCUACCAAGGCUACGAUCGGUAGUUGGUCUGAGAGGAUGAUCAGCCACAAUGGGACUGAGACACGGCCCAUACUCCUACGGGAGGCAGCAGUGGGGAAUUUUACGCAAUGGGCGAAAGCCUGACGUAGCGACA
rnacentral:rRNA from 1 species